rnacentral:rRNA from 1 species
GCGCUAUCAGAUGAGCCUAGAUCGGAUUAGCUAGUUGGUGAGGUAAUGGCUCACCCAAGGCGACGAUCCGUAACUGGUUCUGAGAGGAUGAUCAGUCACACUGGAACUGAGACACGGUCCAGACUCCUACGGGAGGCAGCAGUGGGGAAUAUUGCACAAUGGGCGCAAGCCUGAUCCAGCCAUGCCGCGUGUGUGAAGAAGGUCCUUCGGAUUGUAAAGCACUUUAAGUUGGGAGGAAGGGCAUUAACGCUAAUACGUUAGUGUUUUGACGUUACUGACAGAAUAAGCACCGGCUAACUCUGUGCCAGCAGCCGCGGUAAUACAGAGGGUGCAAGCGUUAAUCGGAAUUACUGGGCGUAAAGCGCGACGUAGGUGGUUUGUUAAGUUGGAUGUGAAAUCCCCGGGCUCAACCGUGGGAACUGCAUUCAAAACUGACUGAGCUAGAGUAUGGUAGAGGGUGGUGGAAUUUCCUGUGUAGCGGUGAAAUGCGUAGAUAUAGGAAGGAACACCAGUGGCGAAGGCGACCACCUGGACUAAUACUGACACUGAGGUG